GUGAAUCAUCAAAUCUUUGAACGCACAUUGCACUCCCUGGUAUUCUGGGGAGUAUGCCUGUCUGAGGGUCGUUAGAAGAAAAAUCGAAGCAUCGCUCCUUUUCUUGAGGGUGAUGCCGUCGGACUUGAGCCGCCUUUCAAAUGUUAAUUUAUGCCAAAGUGGCUUAAAAUCCAUCCAUUCGGUACGAUUACAGCGUAUUUAAGAUCAAUCUUGAUUAAUAACGCGCGAUGACGUACCAUCUCUUGUAGUACGUUUGACUUGGGCCAUCAGGUUCAUCCGUACACG
rnacentral:misc_RNA from 1 species